rnacentral:lncRNA from 1 species
CUGCAAAGAAGAAAUGAUUGAAUUGUAAAAAUAUAUAUCAUAUGUAUGAUGAACUAAGUUCACUAUUUCCCACAAUGGGGGAAAAACACAUAAUCGCUUCUUUUAAAAACAAUAAAUGAGGAAAGCCAAUCUGUACUUCCAGAAAAAGGUGAAGAAGAGGGUCAGGAAGCUUUGCCUAGGACUGUGGCCAGACGAAUCAGCCCUAGGAUUCGAGAGAGUGGAGACUGUAGGUGUUUGGAUCUAUGCGAGACAGCAAAUUUUGGCAGUAAUCUACGAAACAAUAAAAAAAAAAUCAGAAAGAUAUACGCCAAACUAUGGAACACAAGCAACCUGACAUCAGAAAAAAAAUAAUAAAAUAGAAGAAUCUUGAAAAUAAGAGUGCAUAACAGAAAAAAACAAGAUCAAUGAAAUCGGGAUUGAGAUUGUCCUGGUUCAUACUCUAAAACUAAGAAAAAUUUUAUUUGAAAAAGAAAUCACAAAGAAUUUCUCCUCCCAAUUUAAAUAUUAUCGGACUGUAAAAAAUCUCUCUCAAUUAAAAGAAGUUAUUGGUUAAACUUUACAGAAGACUUUUAUUGUAUAAAAUUAUCAUAUUUGUGAUAAUAUUGCAUCUAAUUUAAUUUGGUCUUAACAAAAAUUUUCAAAUAAUCAGUUUUGAUUUAGUUUUUGGAAAUUUUGAAUAAUUCUAUUUAGAAGGUACUUCCUCUUAUCCUGUCUGGUUUUAAUUGACCACAUUUUCACCCAGCUGUCAGCAGAGACGAAAAUGAAAAAGAGAAUAGAUCAUUUGGAUGGAAGGUGCAUGAAAUUGCGAUAAGAUAUAUCGAACAACAAGAUAAUUCUUCUGCUAUUAACAUAAUUCUUAUAACAGAAAGAACUUGAUUUUGAUUCAAUAAACGAAUUUAGUAAUAAGUAAGUUAAUGAUGUGCAUUGAAACAGUCAUAUGAAUAUUCAUUUUGAGAAUUAAAGACAGACAGUGAACUAAUUUAAAAUAAAAAAAAAAUUAUCUGUUUUUUCACAUAGUAAGUAAAUUCUUAAUAUACAACAUAUAUUUUUAAAUUUAAUUUACAACUUAGAAAUAGUAUUUUGCAUCAAUUUUCGAAUUAACCAGCCAUUCAUGUAUCCGAGUCGAAGUCCGGUUUCAUAGGAACUAGCUAAUCUCCUGUAUAUAGGGGAAACUGGUUCAAAAUGACCCCCUUAAUAAAAACCCCGAAAAAAAUUCAAAACAACUCGUCAUUGGAUUUAUAUAUUUUGGAAGACUAGUUUUCAGACUAUAAAAUAUCUUAAAAGCUUCGAGAAUUAUUCAAUCGAAAUAAGAGAAAAAAUAAAAAUUCGAGAUUUAUGCCAAAAGAUCAUUUUGUAUAACCACUUAAAUAAUCCUACAGAGAUCAUUUUGCUGCAGAUACUUAUUAAUUGUAAAGCAAAAACAAGCUUUAUUAUAU